rnacentral:lncRNA from 1 species
UACCUUUGCCAAAAGUUUACAAGUCAGAGGCUCAUAGCUGGUAUAUGUAGUCUCUAAUGCCCUCUCCUGAAAUUUCAUGAGGGAUUUCAAUACUGUUGUUCUUAUUCAUUCAGUAGGACAAGAUAGGGUUUAACAAAAGUUCUGCACUCAAUAUACUUCAUCCUCUUUCAAGGUUAGGUAGUCUCUAUGACCCAUAGAACCGGUGGUGGUAAAAUAUGUAACUUGUUGAAUUACAACGAACAAACAGUCGCUAUUUGAUAAUUGGAUUUAUUUUUUUUGGCAUCGAACGAAACAACGGUUGUGGAUACAAUGGUUCCUUGAUAUGAUAAUAGUGGUUUCUUAAAACGUUGCUGCGACCUGCAGAUGAAAAAAAAGAUGUUCUGACUAGUUUUUCUCAUUUUUCGCUGACAUUGACAGACUUUAUGAGGGAGAAGAAAGGUCAGAUUUGGAGGUUGAAUGAUUGGGGUAUGAGAAGGUUAGCUUACAAAAUAAAGAAAGCUAACAAAGCCCACUACAUGUUGAUGAACUUCGAGUUGGAUGCAAAAUAUAUCAACGACUUGAAGACUUUGUUGGACCAAGAUGAAAGAG